AAUCCUUUUUUCCCUACUUUUCUUUCAUCUGAGCUGCGAGAGCUCUCUCUGUGUGUUUACAUUUAUGGGCUGAAUUUUCACUGCCUCUUACUUUUAAUUCACUUCGAGUGAUUAUUUAACAUAUUUCUUUGCUCAUCCGUGUGAUUAUGGGAGAGUGCCAGGAAAGUCACAGGACCUGAUGCUUUUCAGCUAACGAACGCCCACAGUUAUCGUUGCAUGAACGAUGAACGAGUGAGUGGAGAGGUGAGAGAGGGUGGAAAGAAACACAGUGUCAGUACCACAGACUAAAUGAGUCUCUCUUAAUUAUCACCGUUAAAUAUACAUGAUGAGAAAAAUGGAUUAUUCAUUGUCUUAGCAAGCAGUAAAUAUUAAUAAUAGCCUGUCUGUGUGAGGAUGCAUGUGUUAUGACAGUUCUGUGUCUCGCAAAAAAAAGAGUAAUUGGUGUAUUUGACCUAACAUUUAACUUCAUUUAAAUGAGGCCAUAGAAGCAACCUCUGUGUAGUGCAGACAAUAUUCUCAUUAUACAUUGAUCAAAGCCAUGUGGCCCAUUUUUGUUAGUUGUGCGUUUUUACGGGAUAUCCUGCCACGUUUGUGUCUCAGCGUCAUCUUGAUUGAUAUCAGUUUGAAAGAAAAUAGCAUAUUUUCUUAUUUAAAGUAGCUAGCAUGAGAUGUAGUCAUGUGCACAAGUGUCCCAUGUUCACGACAGUGGAUUGGUUUGAUUGAUUGUGAGCCCGCCCUCUUAGCUACUGUUGACACACCCUAUCAGUCUUUCUGUUCUUGCAUGUUGCAUAUUGCUGUUUGCUCUACUAACGGGGGGACUUUGACACUUGAAAUUUCGAGGUAUUUUGUAAUCAGUCACUCCUUGCUUUCAGCAGAGGUGUGUGCUGUGGCAGGCAGGAUGAAGGACCCAAACGCAGGAGUAAACUCAAAACGCCAGCUUUAUUGCUGGAGAAACAUUUAAUACCAGAAAACUAAACUAGAAACUCAAAACAUGAAGUCCAAACUAGAAAAUAAAACCGGGAAAGAGAGAACCAGAACAUUACCAGAAGCAUGGAGGAAACACACAGCACUGCGAGGGGAUGGCACAACAACAGAGAGACGAGGAGGAAGCAAAACUGAAUGCGCUGACAUAGGACAAGGACUAUCAAAGUAAAACAGAAAACACAGGACAGACACAGAGACACAGACUUGACACUGAAACAUCAGGAGCAGAUCGAAAAUGGAGCACAAGGACAGGAGAAGAAAACUGCGACAUGAGACACGACUGACUGGGGAACAUGAAAAUAAACAUGAAGACAGAACUAAACCUACACUAAACAUGGUGGGGCACAGGAACAACACCCCAGAACUAGAAAUCACAAAACACUGAACAAUUAGAGAGCUAGAAAUUACAAAAGACAAAACCAUAAGAAAACUACUAAGUCAUGGUAUAUAAAAUAAUUAAAACAUAAACACUGGGUCACCAGACUCAGGACCAUGACGUUUUACCUCUGAGAAGCUCUGCUUCUCUAAGAUACUCUUUUUAUACCACAUCACAUCAUAUUACUGAUUGUUGCAAAUUAACCUAAUUAGUUGCUAAAUGUUUCUCUGUUUUUUUUAAUCUUUCCAUCCUUUGUUGCCCCAUCUCAACUUUUUUUGAGACAUGUUGCUGUUAUCAAAUUCAAAAUGAGCUAAUAUUUUUUUAAAUCAGAAUUGAUGUUUUUUAUGUUCUGUUGUAAGUAAAAUAUGGAUUUAUGAGAUCUGCAAAUCAUUGUAUUCUGUUUUGCUUACAGUUUACACAGGCUCCCAACUUUUUUAUAUCUGGGGGAAGACGUCUACUGCCUGCAGUAUGUAAAUGGUAGUUCUGAUUGGGUAGUCAUUGUUUUGAUGUGACUCUAUGUGAGCAGUUCAAUAUCACCAAUUACCCGGGACAGUAAUGUAUCUGCUGACUUUUUACACAGAUGGAUUUACAAUGAAGCUUCACUGUAAUGUGUUUGAUUUACCCAUCGCCUAUCAGACUGACUUUUCCCUGUGUGUGGGCUAAAAAUGAAUUCCCCUACAUUUAUAUCACUUAAGCAAAAUAGGUUGGAAUGGCUAUGUAGUGAGCAAUCCUAAAGCAAUUCAGCUGUUAGCUCUGUUGCACAAGAGAAGAAGAAGGAGCCAGAUAUGAUACACGGGACUUUCUAUGUAACUCUCUUGGGGAUUUUAUUUUCCUCCCGCAAUCUGAGGACAUGUCAGUAAGAUGGACUGAGGAUUUAAAGUUACUAAUAGGUGUAAGUGGGAAUAUUGUCUCUAGACUUGUGUGACAUAUGAAUCAAUAUGUAGCCUUUUAAUCAAGGAAUGCUUAAACAUGAUACAAUAUGACUCUAAAACAGAGACAGCAGCCAAGCCAGUGUUCACAUUACACUGUGAUGAGUAAAAUGAGGACAUGCCACGGUC